rnacentral:rRNA from 1 species
GAUGAACGCUGGCGGCGUGCCUAAUACAUGCAAGUCGAGCGAAUGGAUUAAGAGCUUGCUCUUAUGAAGUUAGCGGCGGACGGGUGAGUAACACGUGGGUAACCUGCCCAUAAGACUGGGAUAACUCCGGGAAACCGGGGCUAAUACCGGAUAACAUUUUGAACCGCAUGGCUCGAAAUUGAAAGGCGGCUUCGCCUGUCACGUUUGGAUGGACCCGCGUCGCAUUAGCUAGUUGGUGAGGUAACGGCUCACAAAGGCAACGAUGCGUAGCCGACCUGAGAGGGUGAUCGGCCACACUGGGACUGAGACACGGCCCAGACUCCUACGGGAGGCAGCAGUAGGGAAUCUUCCGCAAUGGACGAAAGUCUGACGGAGCAACGCCGCGUGAGUGAUGAAGGCUUUCGGGUCGUAAAACUCUGUUGUUAGGGAAGAACAAGUGCUAGUUGAAUAAGCUGGCACCUUGACGGUACCUAACCAGAAAGCCACGGCUAACUACGUGCCAGCCGCCGCAGUAA